rnacentral:lncRNA from 1 species
GCCGCGCUGUGCGAGGCCCAGACUGAGGGCGAAACAGCAGGCAGGACUGGGUGGAGACGUUCGGGGACGUGGCAACUGGAGUUUCUUCUCCGUAUAUUUCGGCAUUCAGUUCCUUUUUUUUUUUGUUUUAACUCAGGAAAAAAUCUCAAUUGCGUUUAGUAUUUUGAAAGCCACUUUAUUGCUUCCCGAGCCUCAGUCAUGUGUGGUGGGAGGCUGCUGUGGGUGGCACCUGGGGCGUCCACGGCCGCCAAGGCGGGAGGACGUCAGGCCCUGCUUGCUCCCACCCCUUCCAGGUGAGAGCUCCCGGGCACGCCCGUCGUUGGCUCUUCGUCCUCUUGGUGUUCUUCCCUGUUGCUUCAAAUCAGGUUCCUGUCUCAAAAAUCCGAAAAAGAAAUCCUCCCAAAUGACUCUGUGCCCGACGCUCCGUUAAGGCAUCGUGCUAGGCGUUCUCAAACUCGUGAAAUGACUACACUGCACAGGAAGACCAAACAGAGACAGAGUUCUGGUUAAAUCACACAAGUCCCUGGCAUGAGACCAAGAAGUCACAGAGCCCAGGUCUUAGCCCUCAGAGUGUGAGAGAAGACAUGAAGGCAUCAGGGACACUGUGCGAGUGGGCACUGCUGCUUUCCACUGCUCUCCCUAGACUGCAGCCAGGAGGCUGCCUCUGCCCUGCCAGGCGCACACACCAAGAAAGGCCAUGUGGGCACACAGCAAGAUGGUGCCUGUCUGCAAACUAGGAAAAGAGCCCUCACCAGGAACUGAAACAGCUGGCACCUUGAUGUUGGACUUUCCAGCCUCCACAACUGUGAGAGGUAAGUUUCUGUUGUUUAAACCACCUAGUCUAUGAUAUUUUGUUAUGGCAGCCCAAGCAAACACCAACAUUUGCCAAUUUUGAUUUAUUUUUUACAUAUAUGAUGUAAAAAGUAAUCUUUACAAAGUAUCAUAUGUCUCAUUAUUUCAUGCAGAAAUUGGUGACCAAAUCAAGGGGAAAAAUAAAGAGAUCCCAAAUAAUACAUGCAAAUUAAAUGGUUUCUUUAUAAAAAAAAAAAAAA